rnacentral:rRNA from 1 species
GACGAACGCUGGCGGCGUGCCUAAUACAUGCAAGUAGAACGCUGAAGGAGGAGCUUGCUUCUCCGGAUGAGUUGCGAACGGGUGAGUAACGCGUAGGUAACCUGCCUGGUAGCGGGGAUAACUAUUGGAAACGAUAGCUAAUACCGCAUAAGAGUAGAUGUCGCAUGACAUUUGCUUAAAAGGUGCAACUGCACCACUACCAGAUGGACCUGCGUUGUAUUAGCUAGUUGGUGAGGUAACGGCUCACCAAGGCAACGAUACAUAGCCGACCUGAGAGGGUGAUCGGCCACCCUGGGACUGAGACACGGCCCAGACUCCUACGGGAGGCAGCAGUAGGGAAUCUUCGGCAAUGGACGGAAGUCUGACCGAGCAACGCCGCGUGAGUGAAGAAGGUUUUCGGAUCGUAAAGCUCUGUUGUAAGAGAAGAACGAGUGUGAGAGUGGAAAGUUCACACUGUGACGGUAUCUUACCAGAAAGGGACGGCUAACUACGUG